GGGAAGUUAUACCGUAGGGGCAGCGGGACAGGUUGUAACCCUGUUGUUUAAUAGCUCGGGUGGUUCGACUCCAUCACUUCCCA
rnacentral:tRNA from 1 species